CUCUUUGUGCACCCGCCCACACGGUUUGCCGUGUUUUCACCCUUCUUUGUUCUCCACCGGUCUGGGCAGGGUCUGAGGACUCCGGAGAGCAAGGCAUGGGUCCGCCUCGUGCCGCAGGUUCCUGGCCCACGCCAGCCGUACCCAGUAGCACAAUGGGAUUUGAGGACACACGCCAGCUGCCUACACCUGAAGAAAGAUGCUGUGGUUGGUAGCACAAGAAUUAGUUGUCCUGGCCUGGAGUGAGAGCGCUCAGGAGACUAUUCUUCCCUGAAGGACUGCUGGCAAUUCAUGGUCGCUGGGGACACUACGCUGACAUCGUCUUUUUUUAAAAUUUUAAAUAAGCUUCGAUUUUAUGUGUAUGGGUGUUUUGCUGCCAUGUUUGUCUGGGCACCAGGCAUGCACGUGGUGCACAUGUAGGCAAAAUGCUCAAAUGCUCAUAAGAAUAAAAUAAACAAAUUGUUAA
rnacentral:lncRNA from 1 species